UGCUUUCUCUUCUGCCAUGGUUUUGAGUUUCCUGAGGCCUCCCCAGACAUGUGGAACUACUUUUUCAGAUCAAAUUAUCCUGUUGUGGUAGCCAUGGAGAUGCAACACGUGGAGUGCCCUUCAAGAGAGAAAUUCCUGAUUAGCUGGGAAGAAUGCAGUUUGCUGACUGGCUCCAUCCUUCCGGUUGGACAAUAGAAAUCUUGAAUGCUUAUGGUAUGGGUGACCGUAAAAGAACAAAUUCAAUGUCUAAGGAGGCUUUUACACCGGAACAACUCCAUCUUGAAAAGGAGCUGGGUGAAAUGAGGCUGAGACCUACUGUGCUGCAUUCCCAGACGGACCACCAAGUAUUCAGACCGAUACCGAUGAUGCAAUAAAGACAAUGAACCCUCCAGGAAAAAAAGAGAAAUAUGGGUUUAGUCACCAAGGAAGAAGGCAGUAAAUAGCUUUGAACACUCACAUUUACACUCUAAUAUAUCUGUGUAAAGGAUAUGAAGGAUAUAAAUAAUUUAGAAAUUGUGGGGGAAGUAGGUGUAUCUCUAACAUUGAAUAAAAAGAAAAUAAAUGACCAGA